CGGUUCCGUUGGUGCGUGUCGGUCGGGUGAAAGACGCCGGGAUCGUCGUCCAGCCGCAUGACCGGUCGGGCGGCCGCGGGUUCGAUCGUGUGGGAACCGU
rnacentral:tRNA from 1 species